GAUAAACGCUAGCGGCAGGCUUAACACAUGCAAGUCGAGGGGCAGCAUAGAUUGUAGCAAUACAAUUGGUGGCGACCGGCGCACGGGUGCGUAACGCGUAUGCAACCUACCCGUCACAGGGGGAUAAUCCGGAGAAAUCUGGUCUAAUACCCCAUAACAUAUGGAUCGGCAUCGGUUCAUGUUGAAAUUUUCGGAGGUGACGGAUGGGCAUGCGUAGCAUUAGCUUGUUGGUGAGGUAACGGCUCACCAAGGCGACGAUGCUUAGGGGGACUGAGAGGUUUUCCCCCCACACGGGUACUGGGACACGGACCAGACUCCUACGGGAGGCAGCAGGGAGGAAUAUUGGUCAAUGGGCGCAAGCUUGAACCAGCCAUGCCGCGUGCAGGAUGACGGCUCUAUGAGUUGUAAACUGCUUUUGUACGAGGGUAAAGUGGGUUACGUGUAACCUUUUGAAAGUAUCGUACGAAUAAGGAUCGGCUAACUCCGUGCCAGCCGCCGCAGUAA
rnacentral:rRNA from 1 species